rnacentral:rRNA from 1 species
CCGCCUAAGCCAUGCGAGUCGACCGGGCUUCCCUCCUUCGGGAGGGAAGUCAGGGGCGGACGGCUCAGUAACACGUGGGUAAUCUACCCUCAGGACAGGGAUAACCCCGGGAAACUGGGGAUAAUACCUGAUAGGUGGAGAGGUCUGGAAUGGUCCUCCGCCCAAAGCUCCGGCGCCUGAGGAUGAGCCUGCGGCCGAUUAGGUUGUUGGUGGUGUAACGGACCACCAAGCCUGCGAUCGGUACGGGCAGUGGGAGCUGUCGCCCGGAGAUGGGGGCUGAGACACGGCCCCAGGCCCUACGGGGCGCAGCAGGCGCGAAAACUCCGCAAUGCUCGCAAGAGCGACGGGGGGACCCCAAGUGCCCCUGCACUGCAGGGGCUUUUGCGGAGUGUAAACAGCUCCGCGAAUAAGGGCUGGGCAAGACCGGUGCCAGCCGCCGCGGUAACACCGGCAGCCCGAGUGGUGGUCACUAUUAUUGGGCCUAAAGCGUCCGUAGCCGGUCCGGUAAGUCCCUGUGUAAAUCCUCAGGCUCAACCUGUGGAAUUGCGGGGAUACUGCCGGACUCGGGGCCGGGAGAC